rnacentral:rRNA from 1 species
UUAAGCGACUAAGCGUACACGGUGGAUGCCCUGGCAGUCAGAGGCGAUGAAGGACGUGCUAAUCUGCGAAAAGCGUCGGUAAGGUGAUAUGAACCGUUAUAACCGGCGAUGUCCGAAUGGGGAAACCCAGUGCAAUUCGUUGCACUAUCGUUAACUGAAUACAUAGGUUAACGAGGCGAACCGGGGGAACUGAAACAUCUAAGUACCCCGAGGAAAAGAAAUCAACCGAGAUUCCCCCAGUAGCGGCGAGCGAACGGGGAGCAGCCCAGAGUCUGAAUCAGCUUGUGUGUUAGUGGAACGGUCUGGAAAGUCCGACGGUACAGGGUGAUAGUCCCGUACACCAAAAUGCACAGGUUGUGAACUCGAAGAGUAGGGCGGGACACGUGGUAUCCUGUCUGAAUAUGGGGGGACCAUCCUCCAAGGCUAAAUACUCCUGACUGACCGAUAGUGAACCAGUACCGUGAGGGAAAGGCGAAAAGAACCCGGCGAGGGGAGUGAAAAAGAACCUGAAACCGUGUACGUACAAGCAGUGGGAGCACCUUCGGGUGUGACUGCGUACCUUUUGUAUAAUGGGUCAGCGACUUAUAUUCUGUAGCAAGGUUAACCGUAUAGGGGAGCCGCAGGGAAACCGAGUCUUAACUGGGCGUUAAGUUGCAGGGUAUAGACCCGAAACCCGGUGAUCUAGCCAUGGGCAGGUUGAAGGUUGGGUAACACUAACUGGAGGACCGAACCGACUAAUGUUGAAAAAUUAGCGGAUGACUUGUGGCUGGGGGUGAAAGGCCAAUCAAACCGGGAGAUAGCUGGUUCUCCCCGAAAGCUAUUUAGGUAGCGCCUCGUGAACUCAUCUUCGGGGGUAGAGCACUGUUUCGGCUAGGGGGUCAUCCCGACUUACCAACCCGAUGCAAACUACGAAUACCGAAGAAUGUUAUCACGGGAGACACACGGCGGGUGCUAACGUCCGUCGUGAAGAGGGAAACAACCCAGACCGCCAGCUAAGGUCCCAAAGUCAUGGUUAAGUGGGAAACGAUGUGGGAAGGCACAGACAGCCAGGAUGUUGGCUUAGAAGCAGCCAUCAUUUAAAGAAAGCGUAAUAGCUCACUGAGUCGAGUCGGCCUGCGCGGAAGAUGUAACGGGGCUAAACCAUGCACCGAAGCUGCGGCAGCGACACUAUGUGUUGUUGGGUAGGGGAGCGUUCUGUAAGCCUGCGAAGGUGUGCUGUGAGGCAUGCUGGAGGUAUCAGAAGUGCGAAUGCUGACAUAAGUAACGAUAAAGCGGGUGAAAAGCCCGCUCGCCGGAAGACCAAGGGUUCCUGUCCAACGUUAAUCGGGGCAGGGUGAGUCGACCCCUAAGGCGAGGCCGAAAGGCGUAGUCGAUGGGAAACAGGUUAAUAUUCCUGUACUUGGUGUUACUGCGAAGGGGGGACGGAGAAGGCUAUGUUAGCCGGGCGACGGUUGUCCCGGUUUAAGCAUGUAGGCUGAUUGUCCAGGCAAAUCCGGAUAAUCAAGGCUGAGGUGUGAUGACGAGGCACUACGGUGCUGAAGUAACAAAUGCCCUGCUUCCAGGAAAAGCCUCUAAGCAUCAGGUAACAUCAAAUCGUACCCCAAACCGACACAGGUGGUCAGGUAGAGAAUACCAAGGCGCUUGAGAGAACUCGGGUGAAGGAACUAGGCAAAAUGGUGCCGUAACUUCGGGAGAAGGCACGCUGGUGUGUAGGUGAAGUCCCUGCGGAUGGAGCUGAGACCAGUCGAAGAUACCAGCUGGCUGCAACUGUUUAUUAAAAACACAGCACUGUGCAAACACGAAAGUGGACGUAUACGGUGUGACGCCUGCCCGGUGCCGGAAGGUUAAUUGAUGGGGUUAUCCGUAAGGAGAAGCUCUUGAUCGAAGCCCCGGUAAACGGCGGCCGUAACUAUAACGGUCCUAAGGUAGCGAAAUUCCUUGUCGGGUAAGUUCCGACCUGCACGAAUGGCGUAAUGAUGGCCAGGCUGUCUCCACCCGAGACUCAGUGAAAUUGAACUCGCUGUGAAGAUGCAGUGUACCCGCGGCAAGACGGAAAGACCCCGUGAACCUUUACUAUAGCUUGACACUGAACAUUGAGCCUUGAUGUGUAGGAUAGGUGGGAGGCUUUGAAGCGUGGACGCCAGUCUGCGUGGAGCCAACCUUGAAAUACCACCCUUUAAUGUUUGAUGUUCUAACGUUGGCCCCUUACCGGGGUUGCGGACAGUGUCUGGUGGGUAGUUUGACUGGGGCGGUCUCCUCCCAAAGCGUAACGGAGGAGCACGAAGGUUAGCUAAUCCUGGUCGGACAUCAGGAGGUUAGUGCAAUGGCAUAAGCUAGCUUGACUGCGAGCGUGACGGCGCGAGCAGGUGCGAAAGCAGGUCAUAGUGAUCCGGUGGUUCUGAAUGGAAGGGCCAUCGCUCAACGGAUAAAAGGUACUCCGGGGAUAACAGGCUGAUACCGCCCAAGAGUUCAUAUCGACGGCGGUGUUUGGCACCUCGAUGUCGGCUCAUCACAUCCUGGGGCUGAAGUAGGUCCCAAGGGUAUGGCUGUUCGCCAUUUAAAGUGGUACGCGAGCUGGGUUUAGAACGUCGUGAGACAGUUCGGUCCCUAUCUGCCGUGGGCGCUGGAGAAUUGAGGGGGGCUGCUCCUAGUACGAGAGGACCGGAGUGGACGCAUCACUGGUGUUCGGGUUGUCAUGCCAAUGGCACUGCCCGGUAGCUAAAUGCGGAAGAGAUAAGUGCUGAAAGCAUCUAAGCACGAAACUUGCCCCGAGAUGAGUUCUCCCUGAGACUUUAAGUCUCCUGAAGGAACGUUGAAGACGACGACGUUGAUAGGCCGGGUGUGUAAGCGCAGCGAUGCGUUGAGCUAACCGGUACUAAUGAACCGUGAGGCUUAACCUU